rnacentral:rRNA from 1 species
UAGGGAAUCUUCGGCAAUGGACGAAAGUCUGACCGAGCAACGCCGCGUGAGUGAAGAAGGUUUUCGGAUCGUAAAACUCUGUUGUUAGAGAAGAACAAGGACGUUAGUAACUGAACGUCCCCUGACGGUAUCUAACCAGAAAGCCACGGCUAACUACGUGCCAGCAGCCGCGGUAAUACGUAGGUGGCAAGCGUUGUCCGGAUUUAUUGGGCGUAAAGCGAGCGCAGGCGGUUUCUUAAGUCUGAUGUGAAAGCCCCCGGCUCAACCGGGGAGGGUCAUUGGAAACUGGGGGGCUUGAGUGCAGAAGAGGAGAGUGGAAUUCCAGGUGUAGCGGUGAAAUGCGUAGAUAUAUGGAGGAACACCAGUGGCGAAGGCGGCUCUCUGGUCUGUAACUGACGCUGAGGCUCGAAAGCGUGGGGAGCAAACAGG